UUAGUGGCGAACGGGUGAGUAACACGUGAGCAACGUGCCCAAGACUCUGGAAUAACUUCGGGAAACCGGAGCUAAUACUGGAUACGAGACGUAAAGGCAUCUUUAGCGUCUGGAAAGAAUUUCGGUCUUGGAUCGGCUCACGGCCUAUCAGCUCGUUGGUGAGGUAAUGGCUCACCAAGGCGACGACGGGUAGCCGGCCUGAGAGGGUGACCGGCCACACUGGGACUGAGCCACGGCCCAG
rnacentral:rRNA from 1 species